CGCAAAACUAGCGAAGUAGCGGCGAUCGGGGCACGUAUAUAACUACUUAGUAGUUUUGUUUGCUUGUUGUUUUGUUAGUUACACAUUGUAUAGCAGCAGGUAGAUAUAAUGUACCACCAACUGUGAAGUGUGUGAACGAUAAGAAAGAUCGAGUGUCGACUCUGUCUUUCAUGCACCAUAGACCACAAAAUCAUCAUUUCCUAUAGUUUUAAGUUUCGUGUCGCUAUAGUGUCAGUACAUAUUUUAUUUUAAAUCCUACUAGUUAAAUUAAGAUGCCAAAUUAAUUCCAGAUUAGAUCAAUUUCAUUUUAAAAAUAAAGCGACGUAAAAUCGUAUUUUAUAGAAAGUUGUUUUACUAUGAUAGUCAUCAUCACAAGGCCAGCGGCUUGGAAUUAUAUUUUGUUUGUUGACAUGACUUCUACUGACCACAAAGUAAAGGCACCACGAAAACCUCUCAACGUUUCGAACGAUUCUAAGUUUUACAUAACUAUAUUUAGGUGAAGGAAAGACAGAUGUAGGAGUAAAAACUUUAUUUGAGUAUAAAAUCAGCCUACCAGAUGUGGGUGCGCGGCCCGCUGAUGCUGCAGCAGCUUGGCGCGCGUGACGUACU